CAAGUACAAUAAUCAGGAGCCAAGUCCCAUUGAGUUUUUCAAAGAGACCCAUACUAACAGCAUGAGCGAGCCGACACAUCUAGCUUAUAAUGCAAUGGAAAAGAAAAGGGAAACACAAUCAGAAGUGACAACCAGUGUUUGAUUCAAUGAUUGUGGCUGAAGUUCUAAAGAAAGAAAACACCCAUAGCACCUUCCUUUCCAGCAUGAGUUAUGCAUCAAGAUCCGGGAGAUUUGGGAACUCUAAUUCAUCAGCAAGGAUCUGAGUUCUAGAAGAAAGAAUUGAGCAAAAGGAUAAAGAGGCGAGAGAUGCAAAUGACAGGCACUGAGAGGAGUUAGUGGUGAGACUUGAAGCACAAGUGAGAGCAUUUGAAGAGGUGUAGAGGAAGCAACACGAAUAAUUGGAAGAUGUGAAGAAGAUCGAGCAAGAGAAGAAUGAAGCCUGGCAAAAGAAGCAACAAGAGACGGAUAUCCUGAUUGGUUUUCUCUUAAGGCUCAAGCAACUUAGCAAGCAACUUAGCAGUCCUAAUCCAAACUUAAUGGUGCAUGAAGGCCAUCCUUUUGCGAUGGAAAGAUAGUUGUUGAAUCAUACAUUGCAAUCAUCAGGAUAACACAUGUGGUCUUUACUUAUCUAAAUAUUGCUUUUCAACUUGUCUAUUCUUCUGUCAAACUCGUGAGUCAGUGUUAAUUUUUACUAUGAAACACAAGAGGACGAAUUGGCUGAGACGAUUAAAUAUAUAAUAUCAUAAAUUUAUGAUGUGA